UACGAAGGGGGCUAGCGUUGUUCGGAAUUACUGGGCGUAAAGCGUGCGCAGGCGGUUCUCCAAGUCCGUUGUGAAAGCCCCGGGCUCAACCUGGGAAUGGCAGUGGAAACUAGGGGACUGGAAUCUGGCAGAGGGGGGUGGAAUGCCGCGUGUAGCAGUGAAAUGCGUAGAGAUGUGGAGGAACACCGAUGGCGAAGGCAGCCCCCUGGGUCAAGAUUGACGCUCAUGCACGAAAGCGUGGGGAGCAAACAGG
rnacentral:rRNA from 1 species